GACGAACGCUGGCGCCGUGCUUAACACAUGCAAGUCGAGCGGAAAGGCUCCUUCGGGGGUACUCGAGCGGCGAACGGGUGAGUAACACGUGAGUAAUCUGCCCUUGGCUUCGGGAUAGCCACCGGAAACGGUGAUUAAUACCGGAUACGACCACUUCUCGCAUGGGAUGGUGGUGGAAAGUUUUUCGGCCAGGGAUGUGCUCGCGGCCUAUCAGCUUGAUGGUGAGGUAAUGGCUCACCAUGGCUUCGACGGGUAGCCGGCCUGAGAGGGUGACCGGUCACACUGGGACUGAGACACGGCCCAGACUCCUACGGGAGGCAGCAGUGGGGAAUAUUGGACAAUGGGCGGAAGCCUGAUCCAGCAACGCCGCGUGAGGGAUGACGGCCUUCGGGUUGUAAACCUCUUUCAGCAGGGACGAAGCGCAAGUGACGGUACCUGCAGAAGAAGCACCGGCCAACUACGUGCCAGCCGCCGCAGUAAAAC
rnacentral:rRNA from 1 species